GUCUCUGGCCAGACCACCCUGAACACGCCUGAUCUUGUCUGAUCUCAAAAGCUAAGCAGGGUUGGGCCUGGUUAGUACUUGGAUGGGAGAAGAUGACAGUAAGCAAAAACC
rnacentral:rRNA from 1 species